rnacentral:rRNA from 1 species
GAGUUUGAUCAUGGCUCAGAUUGAACGCUGGCGGCAGGCCUAACACAUGCAAGUCGAGCGGAUGACGGGAGCUUGCUCCUUGAUUCAGCGGCGGACGGGUGAGUAAUGCCUAGGAAUCUGCCUGGUAGUGGGGGACAACGUUUCGAAAGGAACGCUAAUACCGCAUACGUCCUACGGGAGAAAGCAGGGGACCUUCGGGCCUUGCGCUAUCAGAUGAGCCUAGGUCGGAUUAGCUAGUUGGUGGGGUAAUGGCUCACCAAGGCGACGAUCCGUAACUGGUCUGAGAGGAUGAUCAGUCACACUGGAACUGAGACACGGUCCAGACUCCUACGGGAGGCAGCAGUGGGGAAUAUUGGACAAUGGGCGAAAGCCUGAUCCAGCCAUGCCGCGUGUGUGAAGAAGGUCUUCGGAUUGUAAAGCACUUUAAGUUGGGAGGAAGGGCAGUAAGUUAAUACCUUGCUGUUUGACGUCACCGACAGAAUAAGCACCGGCUAACUCUGUGCCAG